rnacentral:lncRNA from 1 species
GGACUUUUGUCAUCUGCUGUCAGAGAACAAGGUAAAACCAGCAUGGUUAGUUUAAUAGUUGAUACUUAAAACAAAGAUGGAUUUGAAUAGUUGCUGUGGCUUCAAGCAGCAUGUUUGCGCUGUUCUGUCAAACCACACAACAGUUUCCAAACUACCUUAACUGCAGCAUCAGGGGAAGCUAUGUACUUGUUUCCUUGUAACCUUGUAAUUCAUACUGUCAGUUUACAUACUUUCAAUAAACAAAAUAAUUUCUGCAAGUGCUUUCAUUAAAUUAAAUUUCCUACUGUGACACCAGUCUUCUUCCCUGUACUUGCAUUGCAUGACUCUGUCUGAGGUUGGUAGUAAAGACUGAAAGGAAAAUAACAAACCAGGAUAACAAAGCAGCAACAGUUAAACCUGAGGCCAUUUAGGGUUCUGUCUUCAAAGCUGGAUGUCUAAGCAGAAAGAACAUGUGGUUUCAUUGAUUGAAUGCAGAUGAGGGGACGGGAACUUGUAACUUUUAAUUUUACUGGUGUUUCUGUCUCUCUUUGCAAACCUUUAGUGACUUAAUUCAACUCCAAGGAGGACCUAGCAAUGCCUUUUUAAAAAUCAAAACAUCAAGCAGCCAAGCAAGGUUUAAGAUAUACUUUGACUUGUCUUUGUUUUUGACUGCUCUAAGGGUGUGGGAAAGCCUCCUAAAGGUAGCUUCCAGUAUAGCUAGUGUACACACUUGUGUAAGAUCCUAAAAUCCUCAGCCUUAUGUCACAUAUACUGUGUUUUAUCCUGAAUUUCUUAGAAAAAUCCAAGCAGCUUUUGGUAUUGUCUCUGCCAGAACAGUUUUCUCCAAAGAAGCUAAAGGUUUUUGAUAGUUCCUGUAUUCUGCCACAGUACUUUAUACAGUCCACAGCUGAACCCAAAAUGCAUGACCAUGAUUUUCAACCUGAACUGAAGAAAAUGAUUUUUGAAUUCCAGAAGGAGUUCAAUAAUGCUUAUCAUGCUGAGAUUUUGUAAGGGAUUUUUGGCUAUCCCUGGGACCAAAAAGCAGCUUAAGCCCCAAAGUCUUAACUCACAGGAGAAAGUGGAAAGGGCCAUGCAAGAAUUCACAUCAGGAAGAACAAACUAUACAUCAGCUCCUAGCUACAGUUGGACUAGAUGAUCUUAGAUGUCUUCUCCAACCUGGGUGAUUCUAUAAUUCUAUGAUUAACUCUUAGCAACACGGCUGCUAAAGAGUUCAGUCCCAGUCCACACUAACAAGUGAUGGAAUUAGCCCAUUACCUGCUGGUAGACAUCUGGGCUGCAAUGUGGUCAGGAUUGUAGCUCCAGAGCAGAGCUCUUUAGUCUCAAUCUUACAGUUGCAAUUGAGCACUGGGGCGAGAAUAGUUUACUGUAUCUUAUAUUGCUGAUUAAUACCUACACAAAGCUUAUGAGGUCUCACCUUUUGAUUUCCUAUUUGGAGGAAUCCAAAAGUGGACAAGUUUUUUUUUUUUUUUUUUUUGUGUCGGAGAAUUAAAAAUAAGAUUGUCUUUAUUUCUAUCAAGACAAUGGCCCAAUAAAUCUUGUGGUACUGCCAUAAACCUGGUCUUUCCUAAUUGAAUAGAAGCGACACAAGGCAUUUGUUUGUUUUUAUCUCCUUUGUAGUGAGAUAUCUGGGACAGCCUAUCCACACAGCCUGAUGGAGAAUGUUGUGUUGGUUUUUUUUUUUAGUCACUUGGCUUCCUUUUACAUUCUGUUGUGCUUAGGAAAGAUAGAGUUAUCAUAAAUCAAGUGGAAGCCAGGCGGGAUAAUUGGAUUAAUCAAACCUAUUUACUUGAGUAAAGUAAUGCUUGAGUAAAUAUAACUCACACUGAGUUUCAGAAAUACUUUCACUGGUUAUAUGCUUGAUUAUAGGUUACAAAUUGCUAAUUUUUCAGCCCUGGUUUUAUU